rnacentral:rRNA from 1 species
UUGGAGGGCAAGUCUGGUGCCAGCAGCCGCGGUAAUUCCAGCUCCAAUAGCGUAUAUUAAGGUUGUUGCAGUUAAAAAGCUCGUAGUUGAAUUUCGGGGUCAGUAGAUUGGUCGUGCCACUGGUAUGUACUGGUCUUACUGGCUCCUCCUUCCUGAUGAACCGUAAUGCCAUUAAUUUGGUGUUGCGGGGAGACUGGACUGUUACUUUGAAAAAAUUAGAGUGUUUAAAGCAGGCUAACGCUUGAAUACAUUAGCAUGGAACAAUGAAAUAGGACGUUCGAUCUUAUUUUGUUGGUUUCUAGGAUUGACGUAAUGAUUAAUAGGGAUAGUUGGGGGCAUUAGUAUUCAAUUGUCAGAGGUGAAAUUCUUGGAUUUAUUGAAGACUAACUACUGCGAAAGCAUUUGCCAAGGAUGUUUUCAUUAAUCAAGAACGAAAGUUGGGGGAUCGAAGACGAUCAGAUACCGUCGUAGUCUUAACCAUAAACUAUGCCGACUAGGGAUCGGAUGAUGUUAAUUUUUUAAUGACUCAUUCGGCGCCUUACGGGAAAC